rnacentral:sRNA from 1 species
GUCCCAGUCUUCAUUCCCCUGGAAGAGAUAGCUGCAAAAUAUUUACAGACCAACAUCCAGCACUUCCUGUUCAGUCUCUGCGAGUACCUGAAUGCUUACUCUGGGAGGAAGUACCAGGCAGACCGGCUUCAGAUUGCUGUAUAAGGACCUCACAGCAACUCUUCCCACUGACGUCACCGUGACAUGUCAAGGAGUGGAAGUAUUAUCCACUUCAUGGGAGGAGCAACGAGCAUCUCAUGAAACUCUGUUCUGUACGAAGCCCUUGCAUCAAGUGUUUGCCUCAUUUACAAGAAAAGGAGAAAAGUUGGAUAUGAGUCUGGUCUCCUAAUAGAUUGUUUUCACUGCACUGGGAGCACAUCAGAGAAAUAAAUCCCCCCUCCCCUGCCAGGUGAAAGGAAAUAUUGCACUUUCUGUUCUCAUGACUAAGGGGACAGGAGUUCCAGAAGAACCUUUCAAGAUGAUCAGGAACACCAGGACGAGGGCCGUCUCACCUCACUCGGACCACAUGGAGACCUCCCUUCAAAAUGGGAGCCAUGUCCUGCCCCACCAAGCCCUGUCUGAAGUGGAGCUUCCCCGCCUGUGCUCCCUCCACAGUCCCGGAAAGCCCAGCGGCAAAGGCAGCUUUGUCCCAGCUCUGCCACCCUCCUGCUCACAGUGGUC